UGUGGCCUACGGGGGGCAGCAGUGGGGAAUAUUGCACAAUGGGGGGAACCCUGAUGCAGCGACGCCGCGUGGGUGAAGGAGCGUUUCGGCGCGUAAAGCCCUCUCGGCAGGGAAGAAGGAGGACGGUACCUGACUAAGAAGCCCCGGCUAACUACGUGCCAGCCGCCGCGGUAAUACGUAGGGGGCAAGCGUUAUCCGGAUUUACUGGGUGUAAAUGGGGCGCAGACGGCAGCGCAAGCCACGAGUGAACGCCCGGGGCCCAACCCCGCGCCUGCUCUU
rnacentral:rRNA from 1 species